rnacentral:rRNA from 1 species
GACGUAGGGACCAAGCGUUGUUCGGAUUUACUGGGCGUAAAGGGCGCGUAGGCGGCAAUUCAAGUCAGCUGUGAAAUCUCCGGGCUUAACUCGGAACGGUCAGCUGAUACUGCUUUGCUAGAGUGCAGAAGGGGCAAUCGGAAUUCUUGGUGUAGCGGUGAAAUGCGUAGAUAUCAAGAGGAACACCUGAGGUGAAGACGGGUUGCUGGGCUGACACUGACGCUGAGGCGCGAAAGCUAGGGUAGCAAACGGG